rnacentral:rRNA from 1 species
GAGAGGAUGAUCAGCCACACUGGCACUGAGACACGGCCCAGACUCCUACGGGAGGCAGCAGUGGGGAAUCUUGGACAAUGGGCGCAAGCCUGAUCCAGCCAUUCCGCGUGGAUGAUGAAGGCCCUAGGGUUGUAAAAUCCUUUCGGCAGGGAAGAUAAUGACGGUACCUGCUAAAGAAGCCCCGGCUAACUCCGUGCCAGCAGCCGCGGUAAUACGAAGGGGGCUAGCGUUGUUCGGAAUCACUGGGCGUAAAGCGCACGUAGGCGGAUUGGUCAGUUAGGGGUGAAAUCCCAGAGCUCAACUCUGGAACUGCCUUUAAUACUGCCAGUCUUGAGUCCGAGAGAGGUGAGUGGAACUCCGAGUGUAGAGGUGAAAUUCGUAGAUAUUGGAAAGA